AGUGAUGACAUUUUACUGUGGAAGUGCCAUUAGAGGUGACAGGCUGAGGCUGGUUUACAUUUGUCUUUGUUUGUUCAGGCACUUUGAUUUUUUUGUUCAUUGGCCUUUUUUUUUCAGCAGCGUCCUUAACUUCUUCUUGUAUUCUUUUCC